GCCCUAAACCAAGCCUAAACUUUCCCCCCCCCCUAUAUCAUCAACCUUCCCCCAACCAUAAAAUAAAACAUUUCAUCUUCUUAGUAGAGGCGAUCAAAAAGUUUAUUAGAGCUUCCCAUUUAGUACCGCAAGGGAAUGGGGAAAUAGAUUUGAAACAGCCUUAAAGCACAACAAAGCAAAAACCCCCCCUCGUACCUUUUGCAUCAUGGUUUAGCGAGUCUUAAUCAAGCAAAGAGGAACAUUAGUUUGACACCCCGAAACUGAGCGAGCUACUUCGAAACAGCUUAUAGAGCCAACCCGUCUCUGUCGCAAAAAAGUGGGAUGAUUUCCAAGUAGAGGUGACAAGCCUAUCGAGCCCAGAGAUAGCUGGUUAUUCAGGAAAAGAAUUUCAGUUUCUUCCUUAAGUUUUCUUAUUACCAUAAAAACUCCUUCAAACUUAAGAGUUACUCAAAAAGGGCAAGCUUAUUUGAGACAACAUAGUGGAAAACUGGUAACGAGAAAAGUACCUUUUGCCAGAAUGUGAGCGCAAGCCAAAUUGGAACAUUCACUGGUUACUGACGUAUAGACUUUAGUCAUAGUAACAUCCUCAAGAAAAAUGUAUUUACCCAUAAAGUUGACCUAACACAAGCACAUUCCGGGAAAGAUUUAAAGAAAAAGAAGGAACUCGGCAAAUGUAGGCCCCGCCUGUUUACCAAAAACAUCGCCUCCUGAUUACCCAUAUGAGGUCCAGCCUGCCCAGUGACAUGAUUAAACGGCCGCGGUACUCUGACCGUGCGAAGGUAGCAUAAUCACUUGUUCUCUAAAUAAGGACUAGAAUGAACGACAUCACGAGGGCCUUACUGUCUCCUUUUUCCAAUCAGUGAAACUGAUCUCCCCGUGAAGAAGCGGGGAUCUUACUAUAAGACGAGAAGACCCCAUGGAGCUUUAAACCCAACAGGCAAUCCUAACCCCCUUUCCCCCCCAAAGUUUUUAAAUAGUGUCUGCUGGUUUUAGGCUGGGGUGACCGCGGAGUAAAAAUUAUCCUCCAUGACGUAUGGGACUUCCCCCCAAUCCACGAGCUACUGCUCUAAGAAUCAUCAAAUUGACGACAAAUGAUCCAAUCUAUUGAUCAACGAACCAAGUUACCCUGGGGAUAACAGCGCAAUCCAUUUCAAGAGCUCCUAUCGACAAAUGGGUUUACGACCUCGAUGUUGGAUCAGGGUACCCAAGUGGUGCAGCCGCUACUAAUGGUUUGUUUGUUCAACAAUUAAAACCCUACGUGAUCUGAGUUCAGACCGGAGUAAUCCAGGUCGGUUUCUAUCUAUAAAGUGUUAUUCUUAGUACGAAAGGAUUAGAAUACCAUGGCCUAUAUCUUAAAUAAGCCAUAGCUCAUAACUAAUGAAAACCUCUUAAUUAGCUAAAGCCUACCACCUGAUCUUAGACCAAGGUA
rnacentral:rRNA from 1 species